CGGCGCUGUAGAACGGGUUCGUCAGGUCGCCGCUGAUGAGGCCGACGAGCGCGGAGGUGGCACCCCGGCGCAGUUCCCGGGCGAUGCCGU
rnacentral:tRNA from 1 species